rnacentral:rRNA from 1 species
ACACGACUACAUUAGAUACCCGGGUAGUCCCAGCCCUAAACGACGCGCGUUAGGUGUAUCGGUGACCACGAGUCACCGAGGUGCCGAAGGGAAACCGUGAAACGUGCCGCCUGGGAAGUACGGUCGCAAGGCUGAAACUUAAAGGAAUUGCGGGGGAGCACCACAACGGGUGGAGCCUGCGGUUUAAUUGGACUCAACGCCGGGAAGCUCACCGGAUAAGACAGCGGAAUGAUUGCCGGGCUGAAGACCCUGCAUGACCAGCUG